CGGGAUGUAGCGCAGCUUGGUUACCGCGUCUGCUUUGGGAGCAGAAGACCAUCGGUUCGAAUCCGAUCAUCCCGACCA
rnacentral:tRNA from 1 species